rnacentral:rRNA from 1 species
ACCGGCAGCUCAAGUGGUGGCCAUUUUUAUUGGGCCUAAAGCGUUCGUAGCCGGUUUGAUAAGUCUCUGGUGAAAUCCCGCAGCUUAACUGUGGGACUUGCUGGAGAUACUAUUAGACUUGAGGUCGGGAGAGGUUAGGGGUACUCCCAGGGUAGGGGUGAAAGGAGAUAAUCGGGGGGGGAGCAACUGAGGCGAAGGCGGCGAACUGGAAAGAACCUCUCGGUGAUUAACUAAAUUCAUUGUCGCCUAACG